UACGUAGGGGGCUAGCGUUGUCCGGAAUCAUUGGGCGUAAAGCGCGCGUAGGCGGCCCGGUAAGUCCGCUGUAAAAGUCAAAGGCUCAACCUUUGAAUGUCAGUGGAUACUGCCGGGCUAGAGUCCGGAAGAGGAGAGUGGAAUUCCCGGUGUAGCGGUGAAAUGCGCAGAUAUCGGGAAGAACACCCGUGGCGAAGGCGGCUCUCUGGGACGGUACUGACGCUGAGACGCGAAAGCGUGGGGAGCGAACAGG
rnacentral:rRNA from 1 species